rnacentral:lncRNA from 1 species
CUCUGAGGCCGGAAGUAUGAACAGUGCUUUCUCAUCCUUUAUUGGAUGAGAAAUGCCAUUUAACAUCUACUGUUCAUACUCGGUUGUGAUCCUCGAUCUUCCAUCACGUGACCCGCCAGAUUCUGAAGACGCAUUCACACUCUCGGGAGUCGACCUUUACCGGAUUUGUCAGGAUUUGACCAACCAGGUCAGGCGUGGCUCUCCUGGUUCUUUUUUACUCGGAUUUGACUCUUGGCACGUACUGUACCUUGUUAGCAAAUUCGUAUUGGUCGUUGGUAUUUUCUGAGGUUAGUUGAUUUCUCCAGAUAGUGGUCAUAAGGCUACUCCUCAUUCAGACUUUAUCAAUCCUCCUAGUGCUGUACCUUUGGUUAGGAGGAGUUUACGGACUAACGGUAGCUGGGUACCUGGAUUGGAGUUUGUUCAUUAGUUAGUUUUUGGUUAGAAGUUUGAUUGUAGAGUUCAUUUAAGCUUUAGAUCUAGGUAUAUUUUAGUUUUAGAUUCGCUUCUGAAUUUGAUAGUUUUGGUUAGUUUUCUAGAUUUCCUGUUUUCUGUA